rnacentral:rRNA from 1 species
AGUGAACGCUGGCGGUAGGCCUAACACAUGCAAAUCGAACGGCAGCACAGGAGAGCUUGCUCUCUGGGUGGCGAGUGGCGGACGGGUGAGGAAUACAUCGGAAUCUACUCUGUCGUGGGGGAUAACGUAGGGAAACUUACGCUAAUACCGCAUACGACCUACGGGUGAAAGCAGGGGAUCUUCGGACCUUGCGCGAUUGAAUGAGCCGAUGUCGGAUUAGCUAGUUGGCGGGGUAAAGGCCCACCAAGGCGACGAUCCGUAGCUGGUCUGAGAGGAUGAUCAGCCACACUGGAACUGAGACACGGUCCAGACUCCUACGGGAGGCAGCAGUGGGGAAUAUUGGGCAAUGGGCGCAAGCCUGAUCCAGCCAUACCGCGUGGGUGAAGAAGGCCUUCGGGUUGUAAAGCCCUUUUGUUGGGAAAGAAAUCCAGCUGGCUAAUACCCGGUUGGGAUGACGGUACCCAAAGAAUAAGCACCGGCUAACUUCGUGCCAGCCGCCGCCGUAA